rnacentral:rRNA from 1 species
GAUCCUGGCUCAGAAUGAACGUUGGCGGCGUGGAUUAGGCAUGCAAGUCGAGCGGACAAGGGGGAGCUUGCUCCUCUGCGUUAGCGGCAAAAGGGAUAGUAACGCGUAGUUACCAACCCUCGGGACGGGGAUAGCUUCUGGAAACGGAAGGUAAUACCCGAUAACAUCUCCGGAUCAAAGGUGAGAUUCCGCCUGAGGACGGGACUGCGUCCUAUUAGCUAGUUGGCAGGGUAAUGGCCUACCAAGGCGACGAUGGGUAGCGGGCGUGAGAGCGUGACCCGCAUCAUUGGGACUGAGACACUGCCCAGACACCUACGGGUGGCUGCAGUCGAGAAUCUUCGGCAAUGGACGAAAGUCUGACCGAGCGACGCCGCGUUGUAUGAUGAAGGCCUUCGGAUUGUAAAGUACUGUCAAGUUGGAGGAAGUGCGACGGGGCAACUCCCCUGUUGUUUGACCGAUAGCAAAAGGAAGGACGGGCUAAGUUCGUGCCAGCCGCGGC